rnacentral:rRNA from 1 species
CAAGAGGAGCCUGGAGACAGGUGCUGCAUGGCUGUCGUCAGCUCGUGUCGUGAGAUGUUCGGUUAAGUCCGCUAACGAGCGCAACCCUCGCUGUGUGUUACAAGUGCCACACGGAACUGCCGGUCAUAAACCGGAGGAAGUGGGAUGACGUCAAGUCAGCAUGGCCUUUAUAUCCCUGGGCUACACACACGCUACAAUGGGAAGGGACAAUAGGUUGCGAAGCCGCGAGGCGGAGCCAAUCCAGCAAAACUUCCCUCAGUUCAGAUUGCAGGCUGCAACCCGCCUGCAUGAAGUUGGAGUUGCUAGUAAACGCAGGUCAGCCAUACUGCGUUGAAUACGUUCCCGGGGCUU